rnacentral:rRNA from 1 species
UACGUAGGGUGCGAGCGUUGUCCGGAAUUAUUGGGCGUAAAGGGCGCGUAGGCGGCCUGGCAAGUGGAUGGUGAAAUCCCUCGGCUUAACCGAGGAACUGCCAUCCAGACUGCUUGGCUUGAGACCGGGAGAGGUGAGUGGAAUUCCCAGUGUAGCGGUGAAAUGCGUAGAUAUUGGGAGGAACACCAGUGGCGAAGGCGGCUCACUGGACCGGUACUGACGCUGAGGCGCGAAAGCGUGGGGAGCAAACGGG